CUCUCUUCUUUGAUUUUUUUGGUUUAGAUUGUUUUUUAAUCUUUAGCUCACACCUUUUGAUCCAACCAAGAAAAAUAAGAAAGUUGUCACUAAGAAAUCAGGAUCCUGUCAAGUACUCAACAGAGUCACAGCCGGAGAAAUCUGAUCCCUUGCCUGGUAUGUUGACAUGUUUUUUCUGCCGUUUUUAUUUCUAUCAAUGGUGUAUCUACACUACUAUGUCUGAAUUAUUUUCCAUGUACCUAAUGAUGGCUUUGAAGGCUCAUUUGGUUGACUGAAGAAAAAGAAGAAGAUGCCAAUGAGUGUUUACGUUUCGUGUCUUUGAAACUGGUGUUUGCAUUAUUCUGUGCCGAUGUCCUCGAACCGAUGGAGAAAAAGCUGUUUGAGAUUAUGAUGAAAAAAAACUCUCAUUUAAGUUAUUCGAAGAUUUUGAAGCCAAUUGUGGCCGUUCUAACCUCUCUGUACGUACAUAUUUUGCAUCCAAAAUUUCAGAUGUUGUCCAGCUAAUCAGUGUUCAGUAUGUCACCGAACGCCCCGUCCUUCACGGAGCAGGAGUAGCAACCAUUGAGCGAGUGUUGGUUUACUUUCAACCUAAAGAGUGAGCAUUUUCGAGUUGAUGUAUAGUAAUACAAACCCUCACCUGUAUGACCAAUUGAGUUCAUCCUACUUUCAAUGAACAUAUGCAGGGGGCAUGUUAUGAACGUGUUGUGGGAUCAGGCUACAAACAAAUUCACAGAAAAUUCAGUGAAACUGCAGAUAUUCAUGUCAUGCUUUUAGUGACAACAGUCAACACCAAACAUAUUUGCGGUAAACAUUUAUCCUCCUCUUCCUAUAGUUUCCAAGUUUAUCUCAACAUUUUAGAUUUCACAUUAAAUUCCCCACUAAUAUGAGAUGAGCUCCCUUAACAUAAGUUGUUGCUCAAUAAGAAGUAAUUCCAAUUACUAAUAUUAGUGAUUCUACAGGGUUGCUACUUUAGAUUUAAAGGAGUUCAGGCAACCAAGUGACAUUUUCCUAAUCUCUUGAUUCGAAGUGGUAGUUCUAGAAAUUUUAAAAGCAGAAACCCUCUGAGAAAGGUAUCCUAAUAUUUUUGUGUGUUCAUUGCAGACUCUUGAAACUUAACAUUCAGCAAGAAUAGUUGUAGAGAGGCAUGUGUUUACAUGUUUUGACUACAGAAUCUGUCUAACGAUUCAAACUAUUCCCAGUAAUGAUCUCUGAUAUUUAAUUUUUGAUAUUUUUGGCGCUGUUCUGCUUAUUGACAAUUAUAGUUACUGGUCAACACGGACAUGAAGAUGCACUGACUCAAAGCUCUGUUUUUCUCAGUUUAAUCUCUUGAAUCAGUAUUAGUAAUGGGUUCAUGAUGAUUCUUUACGGUGUGUAGACGGUGGAUAGGUUGAUUGAAACUGGAGACAGUGAGCAUAAUUUUAAGAAAGCAAUCAUGGAGCAAGGAAGAGGGCAGGUUGGUAUUUAGUGCAAGAAAACAACUGUUAGGUGUAUCUCAAAUUAGGUUAUUUUCUGUAUCCGUUAGCAGAUACUAAAUAUUGGAUACACUUGCUGAGAUUCAGGAACGGCAUGAGACUUUCAGAGGCUUAGAGAAGAAACUCCUCCACACUGUAGGUUAUAAUAAAAAUGUUGAAUCUGAAGGUAUCAAACAAGAUGGUGAGCUAAUGAAUGCUUCUGAAAUCGUCCAGGUGCUACCAAUGGGAAAAAGGUGGAAGAGUUUCAAAAGAGUUUUUUUGCGCAUAGAGUGAACAUUAGUAUCUAAAGAGUUCUUAGAAAACCUUGAACCGUUGGCAUGGAGUGAACAUUAGUAUCUACAGAGCUUUUUUGCGCAUCUAUAUAUUAACUGUUCCCACUUUUUUGUGCAAGCUUGCUCUACGGUUUUCUUUUAGGACUUGAUCACUAUGGUCCUCACGUAGUUGUAACUAAUCAAAAUCUGUAAUGACAAAGACUGCAAAAAAAAGGCCCAUAAAUAUUAUUACUAUUAAUAAAAGAAAUUACUUCCAUAUCAAGCAAUCUGAAUACCAUCAAUAGAUUAAGAAAAACAAGAGAUGAGUGGGAAACAAAGAGUAGAGAAGAUUGAAGAAGAAGAAGAUGGUCAGCAAAGAAUUAUGGAAAGGCAAUAUUCAAGUUAACUACUCAUAAGAAGAAAAGGUCGAAUAACCCUUUUAGUUCGUCAGACUCUAGAGCUCAAAAGUUCCUAUGGAAGUAGAAGAAACUAAGAAGGAUAAUGUGAGAUCUGAGUUGAGGUUGGUCUCUUCUUCUACACAUCUUUGUGUUCUUAGAAGUUUUUUUUUUCUUUUUUUGCUAAAAAGAAGUUUUUAUAUAUUCUUCCCAUAUAUAUAACUUACUAGGGUCGGCCCGCCCUACGGGCGGGAUAUAUUUUACUUGUGAUCUAAGUUAUUAUUUUUAUAUGAUUUUGCUGUUUGUGUUUUAGGUUUCCAUUUGCAAGAGAUGUAUAUGAUAUAUUACUAAAAAAAGAUCACAUUACAUCACAUAAAUAGUAUAAAAAGACGAAAGAAUAGCUUGCUUUGUGCUCACUACAUGGCUCCAUAAAAUUAAAAUAAAAUGGUGAAAAUUUGGACCAUUUGUCGAUCUGUGCGUGUCAUCCGGCUAGAGCUUCCGCCCUGGCUUCGAUUCCUCUUGGUAACUCAUGGACGCCUUUAGUAGCAAGAAAAUACAGAUUUUCGUGGAUCUCGUAGUGAUUAGUCAUUGGGCAUAGAAAGCCUUUGGGAUCACACUAUGUUUAUCAAAAAAAAAUAGUAUCAGAAAAACAAAUGGUAUCAAUUUGAGACACUUAUUAAUAAAUGAUACAAAAUAUCGUUUUAACAUCAGUUAUUGUAAUUGAUGUUGUUAUUAACUUAUCUUUGUCUAUAUUAAUCUUUGUUAAACCAGUGAAGAUCAAUUAAAAGAUACAUUGUAUUUUCAUAUAUGUGUAAAAAUAUGCAGUUUACUCAAAAAUAAAAAUAAUUUUAAUUUUAACUAUUUUUCUGUUGUUCUUAUUAGAAAUCAAAGGUUUGAUAAAUUAAUAAAAGUCUCAAUAAUGUGAUUCUUUUACAUUUUUAGCGUUUGUUAUAUUUUUAUUAUAAAAGUAAGUAAAAUAAAAAUAUUUGACACUACAAUUUAAAUUCAAUACAUAAAUUAUGAAUUAUUUUUCAUUCUUAUAUAUUUGUCUUUGAAUGUGUUGGUACUUUUUCCCCUGGCCUAAAUUUGAGUGUGGUGAUAAAAUAUAGAAAACAUUUCUGUGAAAUUCUCUCUAUUUCUUUUUGUUGACUUGAGUUUAAAUGUAACUAAACAACAUAGUAAGUGGGAUUUCCUCUGUUUUUGAUAAUUUAUAUCUUUAUUUUUUAAAAUUAUAUAGUUUAGAUUAAAUUGUGUAUUUUAAUUAUUGAUUAAUAUUUCACCAAGUGCAAUUUGUUUACUAAAUUUUAUCGUAUAGAUAUAUGUUCUAUUGUUGUUAAAAAGGAUAUAUGUUCUAUUUUACUAUAUUGGUGGUCUUAUAAAAAGGCGACAGCCAUAGUUGUAGAAUGAGUUUAUGAUUGAGAAAUCACCAACGAUCACCACCCCUUUAUACAAAAGCACAUAACAAAGACAUAAGUCGUGAAAGGUUUGCUCAGUAGCGUGGUUGGAUGAGGUUAACAUAUGAAUAGUAUUGUAAAAAAGGACUGUUUAGUUUCAUGUUGUAUUGAUUAUUUUACAUUAUGGGAUAUUUGAAAGAGAUGGUGGAAUUUACGUCGUUAGAUAUAUAAGUUCGAACGUACGUGAGCUGUUUUUUAUAGAGCAGUUAGAGACAUUGAGCUAUUACGUUUGUUAAUGUGGAUGAUUUACAUUGAGCUAUUACGUUUGUUAUUACGUCUGUUUUUUUUUGUAAUUUUCUGUAAUGAAUAUUGGAUGAUUAUUGAUUUAUAUACUUCUAAAUUUUGGAAUUCAAAGAAAAUAUUUUUAUUCACCAUUUUUUUGUUUACAGUCAUUAACUUUGUUUUUAAGAACAAUCAGAUUAUUAUGGUCUUUGAAAUUAUGUUCUCUUUUUAUACUUUCUGACUUGAUAUACUUGGGUAAUGUACAUGAUUUCAGCGCUGGUUAAAGAGUUUUGAAGUGUUUUUUUUUAGAGAAAACAGUUUUGAAGUUGGGAAGAAUGUCAAGUUCUUGCAUUGAUGAGGUGAGUUCAGGGGCGGUCCUGGGCAUAGCGGACUGAAACACCGGCUUAGGGCCCCCAAAUUUUUUUAAAAAUUUUACAUAAGAAGGGGCCUCUAAAUUUGUAAAAAAAGUUUUUUUAUAAAACUCUUACUAAAUUGUUUUAGGCCCCCAGCAUCUCAGGGACGCCCCUGGGUGAGUUGAGUGAGUCAUUUUUUCUUAGGGAAAUGCAUCAUGUGGUCUCGUGAUAUUCGCGUUUAUCAGUUUUUAUUCUUGAGCGGAGACAUGUGUAGGCUUUAUAGAUUGUCCUUUUUGUUAUAUGAUAAUGUUGAUUGUUUGUUUGUUUCAAAGGCAAGCAAAAACUCUGUAGAAAAUAAACAAUGAUUCUUUUUAUAUAUUAGAAAUACAAAAUGUAGCAGUAGAUAACAACCAAGCUUGUACUUUUCUGCAACUAUAACUGUUUCUUAAACUGGCAGUUAAAAGAUGCUAAUCACAACAUUAGAUAGAAGCAAACAUGCUCACUUAGUCGUGAAGCAAGAGGUGAACUUUAGUAAUAGCUUCAGAAAUGCAAUUACUUCAGCAAAGGUAGAGCAGCAACUGUAAGUUCUUGCCUCUGGACUGGGUUUAGUCUGCUCAUUUCUCACUUUUGGCCUCUCAUAUCUUUAUGUUUGUAAGUACGUUGUGGCAGUACGUUGCGUCGUUGGCGAGAGUCCUCCCCUAUUGCCAUGGAAAGCACGUGAUACAUAUAUAAAGCUGGAAAUUCUAUUGACUGGUGAUCAUGUAACAAUUUUAAUAUUGCUCCACGAACGACAUAUGACUGAAAUUUGGCUUACAUAUUUGUGUAUUCUCUUUUCCAGCAAUAGAACCAUACACAUCCAUUCUUAUUUAAAAAAGGGCUACAUGUUUUCAAUCGUAAGAGUUAACAACACACAUUCAUCAAUGCUGGUUACAGCCACAACUAAUUUCUGCUCUCAACAAUUUAGCUUCAUUUGUUUCUUUACAGACAACCUCCCUGGAGUUUGACCAAACCGUUUAUCAUAUCCACGAUCUGAUGGCCAUAAGCAAAGAAUAUUAGGACGGCAAUUAGCAACCUUGCACAAAAGAAAUUGUGUUAUAACCAAUAGAAAGGUCGAGACAAACAUGUGCUUAGGUAGUAGAUGUCAUUCAACGGCUCAAGAUUCUUAUUGCAGCCAUAACAAAGAAAAAAAGAACAUGCAGUGUAAGGACGUGAACAAAUUGCUGCAUCACAAAAUGUAGCUGAUGACCCUUCUUAAAUGUCAAAUACCUUGGAAAAUAUACCCAUUUAUAUCAUGAAAAACCGACAAUCAUAUUUUAUUUUGAAAUCAGAAGUCAGAUAAAGCAAUUGAAGCCUUCACCGUUAUGGCUUUACAUAUCAUCAUCAAAAACUGUAUUAAAAUUGCAAAGAUUCUGAGAAUCCUUAAACUCUCCAAAGACAAAUAAGUUUCUCUCAAGUGAAACAAUAACAUAAUCUGCUCGACGAAACUCGUCAGAAUAUUGUUGAAUUACAAAAA